CAUUAGUAUCCUUCAUCCUGUUAAGCCAUUCGAGAGCCUUAUGACCCGUUUGCAGAGUGAAUUCUCUUCCCAGCAGAUAGUGCGUAAAGGAAUCCAGAGAUCACUUUAUGGCCAAGGCCUCUUUUUCCACUGUUGCAUAGCAUCUCUCUCGGGCCAACAGCUUGCGACUGAUGUAAGCCACGGGAUGCAGCUCCUCUGAUGUCCCUUGUAGAAGGACCGCCCCCAAACCCCUCUCAGAAGCAUUAGUCUGCAGAAUGAAGUCUCUUUGAAAGUCUGGAGAGUACAAGACUGGUUCCACACUCAAGGAAUGCUUAAUGUCUUGAAAAGCUGCCAGGGCCUCCGCAGUCCACUGGAUUUUGUUGGGGCUACAUGAGCCCGUCCUAUCGGUCAAUGGCGCUGCCCUUGCAGGAAAGUUGGGGACGAAUCGGUGGUAAAAUGAGGCCGUCCCAAGGAACGACCGCAACUGCUUCCUAGUCUGUGGAACAGGACAUGUUUCCAUUGCAUGAACUUUAUCAACCUGGGGCUUAGUAAUCCCACCUCUGCCACCAAAUGUGAGGGAUCAAGCCAAAUGAGUGGAGGAACACAGGCAAUUUCCAAAAAUAGACUCUUUAAUUUCCUUUUUGUUUUAAAAUAUCCUCACAAAAGCAGCUCGAGCUCAUAAAAGAGAUCAAACAAAAAACUGAAACUCAAUAAACUUCUAACUUAACAUAUUGACUGACUGAAACCAUAACCGACCUCUCAAACAAAGACAUACAAGGGUAUAUAUACACACUGGCUGAUCAGACCUUAUGAACAAUAGGGAUUACUAGACAAACAUUUACUAACUAAAACUAAAACCACAAAUCAGUACAGUCAGAUUGUUAAUAAACCUAAACACCCUAACGCAUAAACCUAACUAUUUAACUUCAAACUUAAAUGAAUUAACAAAUGACAAAAUAAUAAACUAAAGGAAAUUCUUCAGUCCCCUCUUCAGGGAGCUAUUGGUUUGGCCCCAUCAGCUCCUCCUGUAUUUAGGUGACAGAACCCCUUCAACCCUGUUUGCCUGUCCCAUCUCAGGAAGCACACUCACAGAAAUGAUUCAUGCCAGAGUUAAUUUUUAUGUAUUUUUAUUUAUUUGAUUAUAUUGAAAAACUCAUAUUAUUUAAAUGUAUGCAUUAGAAUUAAUUAUAGUUUACAGAAUGUAAUAAAUUUUAAUAUUAUUAAAUAUAAUUAGUUAUUUCUUAGUAAAAUUGUUUAAAUACAAAAGGCUGUAAAACAAACAAGAUUCUUUUGUUUAAAAUUUAUGUGAUUUGUUUAAAUACAAGUUAUGAAAAGUGAAUUUGGGAAACCGGAAACAAUGUCUUGCACUUCCUCUGCACUCCCGCCCGCGCUCAGGAGUAGCAUCGUAGCGUUCUCCAUGUGAUGGUAAGUGUAACAUUCUCUCUAAGGGGUGUCUUGUAUGUACAUAAAGAUAUUUUUUUUUUGCCAUAGGGUGUCGAGUGCUUGCGUUUGUGAUAACAUUUUGUAGUUUGUGUUUAUUGUAUGCAGUUAUAUCCUGGCUACGUAGCUUUACAGGACAAUGCUGUUUCCCGCUAGCAUUAUAGCUAAUAAGCUAGCUAUUUCACAGGCAUCUUCGCUAGCUUGGCUAUCCAGCUUAAUAAUGGAUUCAACAACCCUUAACAGUUGUAACCGGCAUGUUAUCAUGGUGGUUAAAAGGACAAAUAUUAAAAUCAUUAGUUAAGCAAACAUAAUUUUUGUCCACAACAUUUAACCUAUUAAAUUUGUAGCAAGUUAGCCUCUGCUCUGUAGCAUUAACUUACAGUUUGCUUAAAGUUAAAUUUGAGAACUUUUUGGGGUUGUUUUGGAAGGAGCAGACUUGUUACCUUUUGGCAGAAUUUUGCAGUUUUAAUGCAAAAUAUGGCAUUUCUGUGAUUCAUACUAUGCAAUUAAACUUAGUUUUUCUUUUCACUUAUUUUUUUGUUUUCAGAUAGCUAACUCUUUUUCUGCAUUCUCCUCCAAUCUCGUGUUCUCACCUUCAUGUGGCAUAUAUUUUUCAUUAGGCCUACAAAGUCAGAUCUUUGACAAUCAGGAGGCAGGAGGUUCUCCAGGAGCCACCAAUUCCAGAGUUCCAAAGCAGAUGGCCAGCACUGUUUGAUGUCAGUGAGGUAAGUGUGAAUCUGAAGUGUAAUAACUUGGUCUAUUUUACAAACUGUUAAAAUCUCUAUCCUGUCUGUGUUGUCUUCUACAGAUUAACUUGGAGUUUAUGCGACUGACAACUAUACCUCUGACCUCCAAAUUCCUUGGAGAACUGGACCGUCAGACUGACAACCUGAUGAAGGUUUUUAAUUCCAAAGGUGGAGCAGCAGGAAGAAAGAUGUCAGCCAUAAUGGCCCAGAUGGAUAAUGUAAGUUUUUAUUUUUAUUUAUCUAAUAUGAUAUGGUUUGUUUGACUCGGCUGUAUAGGACAGUUCCUAUGUUAAAUAUUUUUCUGGCCCCUUUCAAAAUAGCUGUUUAUUUAAUGGGCUUACACCUUUGUGAGCAUCACCAGAGUAGAGUAAAAUAAUGUGGGAUGAUCAAGUGGGGAACUGUCAGUGACUUUGUUUGCCUCAGCACCUGUGUGUUAUAUCUCCAACACUGAAAAGCAUGGAAUUAUAACUUUUUUUUUCUUCCCAGAAUGAAGACAUCAACGUGAGGCGAGAUUGUGUGCUGAGCUGUCUCAGCAUCUACCUCAAUGAAGACCUGGACACACUGGUUAAAGAACACAUGGUAUGCAUGCCAGCCUACUGUGCUUUUGGCCAGAUGUAAUUCAUUUCUAUCUAGACAUACCUGAUAACAUGUGGCGUUCAUGAGAAUGGGAUGGAAAUGGGGAUACAUUGACCUUGACCACCGACAGUAUCAUUGAGUCAGUUGGGUUGUUUAAAAUAAAAAAUUCCCCCAAUGCAAGUGGUGGUAGAACUUUCCCUUUGUAGGAAGUAAAUCCACUUGGUCGAAGGGAUUAAGUUGGAUGGGUCCUGGCACCUAUACGCCCCAGGGAUGACAUCUCUCACCUAAACAACAAGGAUACAUGCUGUGGACUGUCUGCUUAUGAACUCCAGCGUCUUGAGAACAUCAUACAGAAGGAAGCCUUCUUGUCUUCUUUGAAGAUAUGUGAAGUAUGUGGACAUGUUCAUUGGAAUUCUAACAAGUGUAAGACUGAUCAGACGUUCUCCAUUUAACUCAGUCUUCCCCUCACACGUUUUGUCUCCAUCCGACUCCUCUUGGUGUCUCUUCUUCUCUCCCCCCAGUUCUUUCACUGUUGUCCCCUACUGUCCUCUCCCUCUCUCCUUCUGUAUCUUAACAUCUGUCAUACUUAUCUCAAUAGUAACUUCACAAAUACAUUGAGAAUGGGAUUUUAUAAAGGUGUCAAAUUAAGUCUUAAUGGGUUAUUUUAAUUUUUUUCUUCAAUGUAGUUUAGAAAGAUAAUGUAAUUUCUGUCUUCUACCAUUGGCAUACCUUGCUGUCUGUGGAGAGAAACAAUGGGAUAAUAGUUUUUCUCUUUCAAAAGGCAUCUGAGGAUCUAAGGCAGUCAGUAAAGCCAAAGUCAGAAGUCAAGAGGUAAGUCAUAAAGUAGUGUAGUAGGAAGCAUGAUUUGUUUCACGUGCAUUAUUCCAAUGAGGAGAGAGAGAGAGAGAUCCCUAAGACAGCUUAGAAGAGAAAGGAGGUAAAUAUAAAUAGCAGAGGCUACAGGAAAGGGUGAGGAUGUUGGAAAGGUUUGCCUCCUUCAGUCCAUUUUCCCAGCAUCAACAACAAGUUCCUGCUUGGGUCUUACAGCCACUGGUUCCGUAUUUAUAUCACUGAUCUCUGAACAAAAUCAGUGAGGGUUCUUGGUUCUGUAUUUUCAUAUCUCUCUGCAUUUUUAGUUUGUGUUUUAUUGACAGAUUUUUUUAUGGCAGGUCAAAGGCUUCAUUGGGAAAAGAGCGGUGUCCCCGGAAAUCCCUCCGUCUUAACGAAGUGCAGAACCUUACCCUCAGCAGAGAAUCAACCCAUAAACACGUGAGAACAAGAGUACUACUUCAAAGGAUUUGUCUCAGAUUUUAAUUGUUGUCACCUUGAUGGAAAAAAUGGCACAGUUUGAGAGUUGGGGUGUGAAUAGUCAACACAAAAUGCAUCCUUAUGACUAUUUCCCCCCCCAGGCUUUUAGGUGGUGAUCAGAGGUCUUAAGGUCAUUGUUACCAUGAACUUGCAUCCAUCUCAUUCUCAUGAACGCAUAUAUGCAGUGCUUUAUUUUCAAAUUAACACUCAGUUGGCCUAAGGAUGAGCUGCUUACAUUUUGGGAGUCCAGGUUAAGGUCACACAACUAAUUGUUCUGUUCUUUUUAUGUUUCAGGACAUUGAUUCCAGAGAGGCUGAGGCAGACAUUACAGAGAAGACAAUGGGCAUCUGCACAGUCCGAGCAGAGGGUCAUGGUCCUGAUGGUCCAGGUGAUGGACGCUUUGCUGAUGUUGGUGUUGUGCUGGAAGGCGUAGAAGUUCUCCAUAGCCUGCAGAGUGUCAGCCAUGCAUGCGUGAUGCUUUAUGGACUGAUCUAU